GACGAACCGUGCGAACGUUGUUCGGAAUCACUGGGCUUAAAGGGCGCGUAGGCGGGCCACCAAGUCCGGGGUGAAAUCUUUCGGCUCAACCGGAAAACUGCCUUGGAUACUGGUGGUCUCGAGGGAGAUAGGGGCCUGUGGAACUUCUGGUGGAGCGGUGAAAUGCGUUGAUAUCAGAAGGAACGCCGGUGGCGAAAGCGACGGGCUGGAUCUCUACUGACGCUGAGGCGCGAAAGCUAGGGGAGCAAACGGG
rnacentral:rRNA from 1 species